AGAAUCAAUACUCAAGGGAAUGACACGUGUCCUGAGAUGGUAAAACAUUGCGCCCAAGGUGAAAAGUUUGUGCCAUUUUUACCAAGAUCACAUACACAAUAGCUGGGUCUAUUCAUCUGUGGUUCACAGUAUCCAUUGUUACUACAGUUUGGGCACUUUGUGGCAAGAUCACAUCCCAAAACUGAGUUAACUACAACCAAGGGGUUUUUGAGGUCGUACAUCAGGCCUGAAUCAAUCACAUUACGUAUGCAGCCAAUGAAUCCCGUGUAGGACAAGGGUGGAUAGCUUAGACUUGGGUUUGCGACACCUCCUAUCUGAAGCGGCCAUGGGCCAUUAAGGUAUCUGAAAUAAGAUCUCUUUGUAGUUUGACAUGGUGCCAUUCUCCAUCGUUCAAAGUCUUUCCACGUGUCAUGUUGAGGUAGGCUGGUGCCAAGCCUAGCGAUAUAACCACUCUUACGUAACCUUGUACUAACUGGAUGGCCAGGAAGUCCCUUGUUCCAUUCGAAGAUGAAGGACAAGAUGAAGAAGAAGUAUGGCUCUGAAAAUAAAAUGAUUCCCUAAUAGACACAUUUCGUUCUUAUUCCUUUAAAAGAAUAUAUUUUAAAUAGUCCUUUUUUUCAUAUAAAUAAUGAAAAAUCUGCCAUGUUGGUUGAUCUAACAAGAGAAGCUAAUGAAUAAUGCUUCGUUAACGUCAACCAAGAUGGCGACUAUGACGUACAUGCAAAUGCUUCAUAGCAAAGUACUCCCAUUCCUCAGUCUUAGGAUCUAUUGUGCACAAACGUGUUCUUUUCUUUUAUUAAGGUCCAUUGUAUGAUAAGGAAUGCACGUACUACGGAACAAUACAAGUUGAUUAAAAUGCCACGGGUUUUGGUUGAAUAGCUGAAUAUUUUAACGCACAACCGAGACUAAGGCUGAGCAAAGAGAACUCGAAACUAGAGUAUUCAACGAAUAAAAAAAGGGACUAUUACAACCGAAACAACUUACUCUAAUGCUUUCAAAGUUUAUCAAAGAAGGGAAAUCAGAAGGGGCGCAUUCCAGAUGUUAUAUUUUUAAUGCGUGACGUGAGCAUGAGCAGGCUCCCAAACUUUUUGCCUUAUUUGGUAAAAUAACAGAUCAUUUAUGCGACAAAUCUCGUGAAUAAAAGUAUGCAUUGAUACUGACAUACACUUGGGAAUCAAGCUGUCAAAUCUGUUAUGACAAACUAUCCUUAAUGAGCAUGCGUAGAGUACUAAUGAGCGCUAUAUAUUAGACGAGCAUCGACUCAUCCCACAUUUGAAAGGAGAUGUCAGUGCACCAUUUCACCAGGACAUGUAAUUGUUGAUUACUUCUAGUACUAGUGAGACGGAAUGGUUUUGUACUAUUGCAGUACAUAGGUUCCGUAUCAUAAUGAUAUUCGUAAGAGUAUUAUUAGUGCUAUUCAUUAUUCAAUGAGAAUAAUGAUCAUCUGAAUGGGUGUUGCGGAUGACACGUGGUUGACAACUUUGAGAAAUUAUAUACUGAAAAACUUUGGAUUCUAUAUACUUCAAUUGGUUUGAUAAAUAAUAGAAAAA
rnacentral:lncRNA from 1 species